GAAAGAGGGGGACCUGCUUGCAGGCCUCUCGCGAGCGGAGCGGCCGAUGACUGAUUAGCCGGUUGGUGAGGUAACGGCUCACCAAAGCAACGAUCAGUAGCUGGUCUGAGAGGACGACCAGCCACACUGGGACUGAGACACGGCCCAGACUCCUACGGGAGGCAGCAGUGGGGAAUUUUGGACAAUGGGCGCAAGCCUGAUCCAGCUAUUCCGCGUGUGGGAUGACGGCCCUCGGGUUGUAAACCACUUUAGUAGAGAACGAAAAGGAGCUAUCGAAUAAAUAGCUCUGCUGACGGUACUCUAAGAAUAAGCACCGGCUAACUACGUGCCAGCAGCCGCGGUAAUACGUAGGGUGCGAGCGUUAAUCGGAAUUACUGGGCGUAAAGGGUGUGCAGGCGGCUGAGUAAGACAGAUGUGAAAUCCCCGGGCUUAACCUGGGAACCGCAUAUGUGACUGCUUGGCUAGAGUGCGUCAGAGGGAGGUGGAAUUCCACGUGUAGCAGUGAAAUGCGUAGAUAUGUGGAAGAACACCGAUGGCGAAGGCAGCCUCCUGGGACGCAACUGACGCUCAUACACGAAAGCGUGGGGGGCAAACAGGAUUAGAUACCCUGGUAGUCCACGCCCUAAACGAUGUCAACUAGUUGUUGGGG
rnacentral:rRNA from 1 species